rnacentral:lncRNA from 1 species
GUGCUGGAGAAGCAGGAAUCUGAUCCCAGGUCAGAUAUAUUAAGCUGUGAAUGGGUGGAGUGCUUCUAAUUACCACAGACAGGAGCCCUGCAGGCCUGAGGAUCAUAUGAGGACCUCUCCAUGACCCCUGACCUCAGUUUGAACCAAGACCCUACAGUUCAUCCACAUCUGCGGCUGUAGAGAAGGUCAUUGGAGAGUUCAUGGCAAACUGCCUUUACUGUGACUUUACAAGCAGAAUGAGGAAUCCAGUUCAAGCCCCCUGAUAAGUUUCCUUAUAUGUUCACCCU